GUCUGCUUAAUGCCGUCCCUGUGGAGGUCAGGAGGUUGAUUCUGGCCCACAGCCAGCAAACCAACAGCCAUUUUGAGCCCCUAGAUACAGACCGAGGUAUGUAAUACAUCAAUAUGUUUUAUAUACUGUAUACACACAACCAGUGUAUUAGACAUGUUUUGUUAGGAAACAUCAAAGACAAAGAGGAAGAUUGGGAUUCUCAUUGGUCCAGUAAAUCAUCAGCGUUCGAUACGUCCGACAUGAGGCCUGGAGGAGUCUUGAACCCAACAGCAUGUCUACACCCGGGAGACAUUCUUCUCUUUACCGUGACCCAACAGCACUAUCCUCAGUAUGAUGUAGACAGCUUGUACAACACUAAUUAUGCGUUUGACUGGGGACCCUUCAGAUUACUGGCACAAGACCAAGAAC
rnacentral:lncRNA from 1 species